UACGGGGGGGGGCAAGCGUUGUUCGGAAUUACUGGGCGUAAAGGGCUCGUAGGUGGCCAACUAAGUCAGACGUGAAAUCCCUCAGCUUAACUGGGGAACUGCGUCUGAUACUGGAUGGCUUGAAUCCGGGAGAGGGAUGUGGAAUUCCAGGUGUAGCGGUGAAAUGCGUAGAUAUCUGGAGGAACACCGGUGGCGAAGGCGGCAUCCUGGACCGGUAUUGACGCUGAGGCGCGAAAGCUAGGGGAGCAAACGGG
rnacentral:rRNA from 1 species